rnacentral:rRNA from 1 species
UGGGGAAUCUUGCACAAUGGGGGCAACCCUGAUGCAGCGACGCCGCGUGAGCGAUGAAGGUUUUCGAAUCGUAAAGCUCUGUCCUAUGGGAAGAUAAUGACGGUACCAUAGGAGGAAGCCCCGGCUAACUACGUGCCAGCAGCCGCGGUAAUACGUAGGGGGCGAGCGUCGUCCGGAAUUACUGGGCGAAAAGGGUUCGCAGGCGGCAUGGCAAGUACGAUGUAAAAGGCGAAGGCUCAACCUUCGUAAGCAUCGGAAACUGUCAAGCUUGAGUGAAGGAGAGGCAAGUGGAAUUCCUAGUGUAGCGGUGGAAUGCGUAGAUAUUGGGGGGAAUACCGGUGGCGAAGGCGACUUUCUGGUCAUCAUCUGACGCUGGGGUACGAUAGCGUGGGUAGCAAACAGG